AUUGAACGCUGGCGGAAUGCUUUACACAUGCAAGUCGAACGGCAGCACGGGGGCAACCCUGGUGGCGAGUGGCGAACGGGUGAGUAAUGUAUCGGAACGUGCCCAGUCGUGGGGGAUAACGUAGUGAAAAUUACGCUAAUACCGCAUACGAUCUACGGAUGAAAGCGGGGGAUCGCAAGACCUCGCGCGAUUGGAGCGGCCGAUAUCAGAUUAGGUAGUUGGUGGGGUAAAGGCUCACCAAGCCAACGAUCUGUAGCUGGUCUGAGAGGACGACCAGCCACACUGGAACUGCGACACGGUCCAGACUCCUACGGGAGGCAGCAGUGGGGAAUUUUGGACAAUGGGCGAAAGCCUGAUCCAGCCAUUCCGCGUGCAGGAUGAAGGCCUUCGGGUUGUAAACUGCUUUUGUACGGAGCGAAAAGGCUCUCUCUAAUACAGGGGGCUCAUGACGGUACCGUAAGAAUAAGCACCGGCUAACUCCGUGCCAGCCGCCGCCGUAAAAC
rnacentral:rRNA from 1 species